CUCCUACUCCCAUCCUCCCCCCCUCUGUCCGCCGCCACGCUCCUCCUCCCUUCCUCCCCCCUCUGUCCGCCGCCACGCUCCUCCUCCCUUCCUCCCCCCUCUGUCCGCCACCACGCUCCCUCCCUCUCAGCCCUCGUCGCCACGGGCUCCGCCCUAGGUGCCUUGCUGCCCACUGCUCCACCUCCACCACCUCACCUCUUUUUCCUCCUCGUCGUCCCAUCGCUCGCGCGCAGGUCGCCGUCGUGGGGGACAGGAAAGUGGCGGGAUGGGGUGGCCAUGAGUGCUUCAUAUCCCGACGGCGCCUCCUCCUCACAGCAUCGUCGCAGGCGCACCUUCUUCUCCUUCCUCCUCCCUCCCUCAUCACCACAUGCACCAGUCCCCUCCCUCGUCCAUGAUGGCCGCCCCCACAUGAAUCUCCCAGGCAGGGGAAGAAGGCCAUGGCGAGUUAGAGGCUACAGACGGAAGUAACAGGGGUGGGUGGAGCAGCUGAUGCGGAUGGGGUCGGUGCUUGAGGGAGGGUUACCGACCGGAGCAACAGGAGCAGCAAGCUCGACGAGGUUCAGAUUGGAUACAAAUGGUUCACCAAAGACAGAGCAUGAGCAACAGCGAGUGGCUGGGCUGUGCAAUUUUUCUCCCGUCGAGGUAUGCCUCCGUCUCACUGGGACAAGGAUCGACUUGUCUGCCACAUAUUUGUUUUCUUUGAUGCACAUUAUUGUUCGAUUGGAGUGCGCUGACUAUACAAUCUUGAUUCUGUAAAAAAGAGAAUAUGUUGUCCCAUCAGACAUGUUCAGUUUAGGGCCUGAUGGUGAUUGUUAUUAUGUUUUGUUAUGUCCGUUCCAUCAUUUCUUCAAGUGGUUCAGGUGUGAAUCUAAUGCCAUUUGCUGCCUCCUUAAUUUUUGGGUCUACCAUAUGCAGAGAUUCUCUCAUGGUUCUACUUCUAUCUUAUAGAAAGCAAAUAUUUUCUAUUGAUGAGCUUGUAGAUCUUCGCUACUGACCAUAUUUGUUCUCCAGGGCUGUAAGAAGUAAAAACUUUAUUUCUGCUCUAUGACUAUGUGUCGAAGAUGUUUUACAAGUUGUAAGUUUGACUUCUUUGAAGGGGAGCCUUGGCGCAGUGGUAAAGCUGCUGCCUUGUGACCAUGAGGUCAUGGGUUCAAGUCCUGGAAACAGCCUCUUACAGAAAUGUAGGGAAAGGCUGCGUACUAUAGACCCAAAGUGGUCGGACCCUUCCCUGGACCCUGCGCAAGCGGGAGCUACAUGCACCAGGGACAAGGAGCUGUAGCGUCAUGGAUUGGAGCAAAGGGGAGGUCCUGAUGGCUGAAGAUGGUGUGCACGGGAGGAGCUCAAAGCGGCAUUCCCAUGGAGGGAUGGCUGAUGUCAAGGCAAG